UACGUAGGGUGCAAGCGUUAAUCGGAAUUACUGGGCGUAAAGCGUGCGCAGGCGGUGAUGUAAGACAGAUGUGAAAUCCCCGGGCUCAACCUGGGAAUUGCAUUCGAAACUGCGAGGCUAGGGUACGGAAGAGGGAAGCGGAAUUUCUGGUGUAGCGGUGAAAUGCGUAGAUAUCAGAAGGAACAUCAGUGGCGAAAGCGGCUUCCUGGUCCAGUACCGACGUUCAGGCACGAAAGCGUGGGGAGCAAACAGG
rnacentral:rRNA from 1 species